rnacentral:rRNA from 1 species
AACGAACGCUGGCGGCAGGCUUAACACAUGCAAGUCGAGCGGGCCCGCAAGGGUCAGCGGCGGACGGGUUAGUAACGCGUGGGAACGUGCCUUUUGCUUCGGAAUAGCCCUGGGAAACUGGGGGUAAUACCGGAUGUGCCCUGAGGGGGAAAGAUUUAUCGGCAAGAGAUCGGCCCGCGUUGGAUUAGGUAGUUGGUGGGGUAACGGCCCACCAAGCCGACGAUCCAUAGCUGGUUUAAGAGGAUGAUCAGCAACACUGGGACUGAGACACAGCCCAGACUCCUACGGGAGGCAGCAGUGGGGAAUCUUAGACAAUGGGCGCAAGCCUGAUCUAGCCAUGCCGCGUGGGUGAUGAAGGCCUUAGGGUCGUAAAGCCCUUUCGCCGGGGAAGAUAAUGACGGUACCCGGUAAAGAAACCCCGGCUAACUCCGUGCCAGCCGCCGCAGUAA